AACGAACGCUGGCGGCAGGCCUAACACAUGCAAGUCGAGCGAGGACUUCGGUUCUAGCGGCGGACGGGUGAGUAACGCGUGGGAAUGUGCCCUUCUCUACGGAAUAGCUCUGGGAAACUGGGAGUAAUACCGUAUACGCCCUAUUGGGGAAAGAUUUAUCGGAGAAGGAUCAGCCCGCGUUGGAUUAGGUAGUUGGUGGGGUAAUGGCCUACCAAGCCGACGAUCCAUAGCUGGUUUGAGAGGAUGAUCAGCCACACUGGGACUGAGACACGGCCCAGACUCCUACGGGAGGCAGCAGUGGGGAAUCUUAGACAAUGGGGGCAACCCUGAUCUAGCCAUGCCGCGUGAGUGAUGAAGGUCUUAGGGUUGUAAAGCUCUUUCAGCUGGGAAGAUAAUGACGGUACCAGCAGAAGAAGCCCCGGCUAACUCCGUG
rnacentral:rRNA from 1 species